UACGUAGGGGGCAAGCGUUGUCCGGAAUCAUUGGGCGUAAAGCGCGUGUAGGCGGCUCGAUAAGUCCGCUCUGAAAGUCCAGGGCUCAACCCUGGGAUGCGGGUGGAUACUGUCGGGCUCGAGUCCGGAAGAGGCGAGUGGAAUUCCUGGUGUAGCGGUGAAAUGCGCAGAUAUCAGGAGGAACACCAAUGGCGAAGGCAGCUCGCUGGGACGUGACUUACGCUGAGACGCGAAAGCGUGGGGAGCAAACAGG
rnacentral:rRNA from 1 species